rnacentral:lncRNA from 1 species
UUGGUCUUAGUUCCAUGCCCAUACCAAGGCCACAUAAACCCUAUGCUUAAGCUGGGUACCUUCCUUCACUCAAAGGGCUUUUCCAUUUCAAUUGUUCACACCCAUUUCAACUCUCCAAACCCUUCAAACCACCCCGAAUUCACCUUCUUUCCAAUACCAGAUGGCUUAACUGCUGAUGAGAUUUCAUCUGGGAAUGUAGUAGCUAUUGUGUUUGCUGUUAACGCCAAUUGCAAAGCGAGUUUCAAACACUGCUUGACUGAUAGAGUGACGGAACACGAACCGCAGAACAAAAUCACCAGUAUCAUCUAUGAUGAACUUAUGUACUUCUCUGAAUCUGUGGCUAAUGAUCUAAACAUUCCAAGAAUCCUCUUACACACGCAAAGUGCAACCAAUUUUAUUGCUCGCAAUGCUGUAAUACGACUUCAUUCGAAAGGUUGCACUCCCUUCCCAGGUAUGUGCCCUGUUUCCUCCUUUCUAUGUUACUUUCUGCAAACGAAGAAAGAGGCUAAUGCCCGAGCCAUUUUUCUUCAGAGUAUGAUGUUUAUUUUUCUUACUUAUAACUAAGACUAUAACUCCGGAUCACAGAAUCUAUGUUAGCGAACUCGGUGGACGAGCUUCAUCCCCUCCGGUUUAAGGAUCUGCCCAUUACCAUUUUCGACACACUUGAAAACUAUUCGAAACUAUUGGCUAUUGCCAACAAUGUUAGGACAUCCUCAGCCAUCAUUUGGAACACCCUGGACUGCCUUGAACAAUCAUCACUAGCAAAGGUCCAGCAACAAUGUCAAGUUCCAAUCUUCUCCAUAGGUCCUCUUCACAAGAUUGCAACAGUAGCCUCCAGUAGUUUACUAGAAGAAGACACAGGCUGUGUUGCGUGGCUUGACAAACAAUCCCAUAACUCAGUUAUCUAUGUAAGCUUGGGGAGUCUAGCAUCCAUCAGUGAGAAAGAACUAGCCGAAAUGGCUUGGGGAUUAAUUAACAGCAGGCAACCUUUUUUGUGGGUGAUUAGGCCCGGAUCAAUUUGUGGUUCUGAUUGGAUCGAGCUACUGCCUCAAGGUUUCCUAGAAGCUGUUGGAGAAAGAAGUUGCAUCGUGAAAUGGGCACCCCAGAUGGAAGUCUUGGCACAUGGCGCAGUGGGCGGGUUCUGGAGCCAUUGUGGUUGGAACUCAACCCUGGAAAGUAUAUCUGAAGGCGUUCCGAUGUUAUGCAGGCCGUGCUUUAGUGAUCAGAAGGUGAAUGCAAGGUAUGUAAGCGAAGUAUGGAAAAUAGGGAUACAAUUGGAGAAUGAAUUAGAGAGGGGAGAGAUAGAGAGAGCUGUUAGGAAACUUCUGGUAGAUGAUGAUGGGAAGGGAAUGAGGGUGAGGGCCAAGGAGUUGAAGGAGAAAAUAGAAGUUAGUAUGAAGGGUGGCUCUACCGACCAUUUCUUGAAUGAGCUUGUGGAGGUUAUAAAGUCAUUUUAAUUGGAACAAGAAGUGUUUUUUUUUCUCUCAACUAAGUGAUUUCUGGAACGGACUCGCACAAUCAUUCCCUCCCCCUUAACCAUCCUUACAAUAUUUGGCGGGAGAUGUUAAAUGCUAGGCCUCUUUGUAUUCUGAUAAAUAAGUAAUGGACAUCAUGUAAGAGUCAAAAUAUUUUUUCCAAUUUCAAAACAACAGGGGACAUGUCUCUAGUCAAAUAAAUAAGAUCAUCUGGUUAUCUGUUCAUGUUGAUGUUCUUACCGCCCUUUUGACCAUCACCAUUUGAUUUAUGAAGGUUGACUAUUAAGCAUAGGGUUUAGGGUGUAGAAUUAUAUCAAAAGUAUAAUUAAAGGAAAGUUCAAGACGACACGGUUUACCAAUACAGAAGAAAGUAAAUAGAGGAUGCUGGCUCAUCUUGAACUUAAUAAAAAAUAAUGAAAAUAAAAUUAUUAACAUAAAGAAAUAUAGUAUCAUGUUACUGCGAGUCAUCAAUUGUUUACUGAAAGAGGAUGAGUAGGACUUAUUCCUUGAAGAUGCAGCCAUGUUUCCUCUCCUAAAACUACGUACCCACAACUAGACAAUAUACUUUUCAAUCUUAGAGAUGAGUAUCCAAAGUUUACUUAUUUCUUUAAACGCAAUACCCAGCUGUCCUGAGAACCACAUGCUUCUGUCCCAAACAAUUUAUGGAAAAAAGGCAAACUUAUUAUUAAUUGACAUACUCAAGCUCCAACGAAUUUCAAGUUCCAUAGCCAGAAGCUGUUGAGAGUGCAGUGUGUGCACCUGCGUAUCUGUUGUAUUAAUAAUUGGCACAAAUUAAUGUGCUAAUUAUCCAAUUAAAAAUACCUGCAAGUGCACAAAUUUAUUGAGGUGUAGAUUUGCAAGUACUGGGGUCGAUCCCACGAACAGAGGCGAAGCUAGAAUUAUAAAGUUGAGGGGCCGAAAUAGAAAAUACAAGUAUAUAAAAUACCUAAGUAUUCAAUAAUUACAUAUUUAGAGCUAAAUGUUUCUAAUUGAGUCAUGUCUAAUUUGUUUUAGAGGAAAUUUUAACUUAAAUUAUAAGUUGUUUAUUACAAAUUAUAUAUAUUAUAUAUAUAAUAGAGGAGGGAUAAAAAUAUACAAAAUUAGUGAAACACCCAUUCCUAGACAUGAAACUAUAAAUAUACCCUACGUAAUUUAAAACAUAGAAACACACCCAAAAUAAACCCAAAAAUCAACAAUUGUAUAUUUUUUAAUUUAAUUAAUAAGAUGAAAUAUCUUUAUUACCCUUUUUAGCAUUAAGUUAGUUUUGGAUCUCGUUUGAAGCCUCCCUCAGGUUUGAAGCAUCAAGCCCUCCCUCAGUUUUGAAGCCUCCCUCAGGUUUGAAGCAUCAAGCCCUCCCUCAGUUUUGAAGCCUUAAGCCCCUCUCCUGCUUCAAACCACCAUCUCUCCUCUGUUAUCUCCCUUCUUCCCUCUCUUUGCCUUCAAAGUAAACCAAACAGUCUCAAAGCCAUGGACCAACACAAGACCGACGACAAUCUCCGUUACGUAGGUGGCCUCACACGUGUUCUCGCCGCCGAUGCCUCCAUUUCCUUUGCAGGUUUGUUCCAUCUGCUUCAAUUCGUUAUUUUCAUUUUGAUUUUUGCUUAAUUUACUUGAAUUUCUACUUGAUUUCUCUUUCGCAUGCACCAACCCCGACGGAUCGCCGAUUUCCACCGACGAUAUAUUCCAAAAUGGCCAGAUCUGUCUUGUGUUCCUGAUUUUCAACCUGGAUCUCUUCUUCGCAGAUGCCGACGACGAUGAUUUUUCCAUAGCCAAAGGGGCUGCCGCUUCCUCUUCCUCUCUGCGGCCGCCAUUGAAGAAGCUCUUCUUUGAAGAGCGGAAUACGCCGAACUCGGCAAUGUCGUUUUAGAACUCAGAAGGUGGACUCAGGUCCUGAUCCAUGAGAGCAACCAGCUUCUGAGUUUGAUCAUCAACACCUUUUACAAUUUGUUAUGUAAGUUGAUUUGUAAUGUACAAUUUGUUAUCUGUAAGUCGUAUGAGCAGUUGUUAACUUCCAGUAAGUGGUAUGAACAGCUAUUAUAUUGUUCAUACCCUGCAACUGAGUUAAUUUAUAUAACAUAGUAUUAACAGUGUACUUCUAUGACAUAGUAUUAACAGAUUUUCAGUAACAAAGCACGCUCUAUAUUUUGCUCUAUAUAUGGUUGUGCACUUGAAGUUUAUGAUAUGCAAAAUGUGAUUUUUACUAGGACAAUAGUUCUAUGACAUAGUAUUAACAAUGUACUUCUGUGACAUAGUAUUAACAGUGUACUUGUUUUUUCCUUGUAAAGGUAUUUUCUUUUGCCUUUGUGAUUGUAUCUGGUGAAACUAUGGACAAUUGGAGGUGGCAGCAAAGGAUAUCGAAUCUCUUGUUAGGGUUUUUUGGAUUUUUUGAAUGAAAUGGUAUUUACAAUGUUUUUGUAUGAAAUUGUAUUAAGAAUGUUUUUCUAUGAAAUUGUAUUAACAAUAUACUUCUAUAGCAUGGUAUUAGCAAUGCACUUUUAUGACAUGUUAUUAACAAUGUACUUUUAUGACAUGGUAUUAACAAUGUACUUCUAUGAUAUGGUUUGCAGAGGUUUGAUGGAGAAUGAAGGGUCGUGGGGACAGACCCUUGGUUUUCGUGAUUUUUUAUUUUAUUUUAUAUUAAGUUUGGGUUUUUUCAAAAAAAAUCUAAUUUGGGCUUGCUGAGCUUGUUUUGGAUUCUUUUGGGAAUUUUGUGUUGGGCUUAUUUUAAGUUAAUUAAUGGCAGAGAUGUAAUUUAUAGGAACUUCAAUACUAAUUUUAUAUGUAGUAAAUGGUUUUUGGGUGUGUUUCUAAAGUGCAUUCUAUGUAGGGUUUUUUUAUAAUUACAGCCCCUAUUUUGGGUAUAUUACUAAAGCUCCCAUAAAAAUAUGGGGGGACCAGGGCCACUCAAGGUCUAGGAGUGGCUCUGCCACUGCCCACGAGGAACUAUCGGCUUACUAAAAGUUCUAGUUUGAGUAUUUAAAGAACACUUAUUUAACACAACACACAGGUAAAAUGCAAAUUGGAAGCUAAGAGCGAAUAAAGAAUAGUAAAAGAAAUGAAACAAAACAAGAAACCAAAGAUAGACACAAACAACAAUUUCUAUCACCCUUUUAUCACUUUUCUAUUACCACUGUAUCACUUCUUUGUCAUAUGUUUAUCACCUAGUGAACAGUAACGACCAGUGGCAUAAAUAGUAACAACCGAUCGUUUUGAAACAGAUUGUGACCUGAAAACCAAAAUGGAAGGCGACCGGUAACAUGAACAGUGAAGGCCGAUCUUUUUGAAGCAGAGUAUGUGCUAUGUUUUCAUCUUUGACCUCUGUCCAAUUUUUGACCUAUAACUUUUAUCCAAAUUUUAUAUUCUUCAUAUGGUUGGAUUCAGCACAGAAAAAGGAAGAACUCAUUGCAGACCAAAUGUCAUAAACAAUUACGGAAGUGAGAAUUCAAUGGGGAAAACACACAACUUUUCAAACACACACACACGAAAUUUUGGGGGGGGGGGGGGGGGGGGAGGGGAGUGUGGGGAGGAAGAUGGGUGUUAAUUCAAGUGACCUAAUUCUAAUGCUUGAAUGUAACCACACGCUAAUUAUAACAAGAUUGACAAAGAUGAAUACCGAAGUGUGACUUGAAAUGUGAAAAACACUAGGGUUUUUGGAAUCCACUCUAAACAAUCAUACUCACGUUCAUGGACACUCAAGUAAUGAACUCUAAAUAUGUUGAUGAAGAUGUUCGCAAUGAUUCUCUCUAAUAUAAGUAGACUGCGGGGCUAGUGCUAUAAUACUUGUGCCUUCUCUAUAAUCAAUCUAGGUGUACUUAGUACUUCGAUUUAAUUACUUGAAAAACCCAUUAAGUUCAAAGAGAAUAUGAAUAUCACAAGAACCCUAAUAGUAUGAUGUUUACAUUAGGCAUUCAAGAAACCAAUUCACAUAGAUGAUUCUUACUUCAUCCAUUUGUUGCUUAGGAAAACAUGAGGGUACAUAUAAUCCCAACAAUCUCAAGAAGCAUGCUUUUAAAGGUGAUCAAUCAAAGAAAAACAUACAUCAAUGAUAGAUUAUUUUAGUGAAUGGGAAUUCAUUAACAAUAUCUGGAAAUUCAUAAACUCAAGCAUCAAAACAAUAGAGUAAUCAUGUUUAGGGCUUCAACCUAAACCCUAGCUAUGGAGUUUAUUUCCUCAUACUUAUUUCAAACAUAAAUUUGAAAUAUAACUAGAAAGAGUUGACAGAUUUUGUGAAAGUGAUGGAAGCUCAAGGUCUUCAAUGGUGGACGAUGUUCUUCUCCCUCUUGCUUGGUUGCACCUUGUCUCCUCUCCAGCUCCAAUCUCUAAUCUCUGCUCAAUCUCAUAAAAAUGUCGAAUGAUUCAAUGAAUGGCUGAUGCCUUCCCUUUUGCUUCUUCUCUCUCCUACUUUCCAGCUCACAACUCAAUAUUAAACUCCACUACCUUUUGCUAAAACCUUUAGCCAUUGUCUCCUCGUUGUCUUCUUGCCAUGAUGAGAUUUUGUUUUUAAAUACAUUACAAGGUUCUCCUUGACUCGAAAAAUCCCACUUCAUAAGGUAAUUUAUUGUUACCAAAUGUUAUGGUAACAAGUAGAAAUAAGAUGACAUCAAGUGGAGGUGAAACUUGCCCAAAACAGAUUUCCAGCUAGGAUCAAUUGUUGGAUCAGUUGGCUGGGCUACACUUGCUCUCAAAUUUGGAUAUGUUGUAGUCAAUAUCCAUUGGAACAAGUUUCAUGAAGAUCUUCACCUCAUCCGAGCAACGGAGCUUACUAUCCAAAGCCAAGAAGAUGACAUACGAAAAUGAACAAAAACAGAAUUUAUAACCAAUAAUGCAUUUUUAGCUCAUUUUCAUUCUAACAAGGUAAAAUCUAUGAAAACACAAAAAGGAAUUAAAAUGCUAUAAAAUGUCAAGAACUAAUUCAAAAUAUUGGGUGAAUAACAUGAUAAAUCAUGUGUAAAAAUGAACCCAACACUAACAGUGAGAGAGAGAGAGAGGAGGGGGAGAGGGAGAUGGAAAGAAAGUACAGAGUGGUCAAAGGUUGGUCUUAGUCCCAUGUCCAUAUACCAAGGCCUAUGCUUCAGCUGGGCACCUUCAUACACUCAAUGGCCGUUUCCUUCUCAAUUCUUCAUACCAUUUCAACUCUCCAACCCUUCAAACCACCUUGAAUUUGCCUUCUUUCCAAUACCAGAUGGAUUUAACUGCACAUGAGAUUUCAUGCCCUUCUCUGAAGUUGUGGCUAGUUAUUAGAACAUUCCAAGCAUCGUCUUACGCACUGUCAGCGUUACCAAUUUGUUGCCCGCUGCACAAUCCUACAACUUCAUUCAAAAGGUUACAUUCACAUACCUGUUACGUACCAUCUGUUGACUGAGCCUUCCUAAUUAAUCAAUGAGAUUUAUUUCUUUGAUUAAUUUGGGGAUUUACUUCUUAUUUUAUAUAGUUGACAUAUCCUUAUAUAAUCAGGUGAUAUUAAUUGAAUAUUAUAUCUAUUUAUUCCAUAUCUAUUUCCUUGUAAAGCACUCAUGUAAACUCCUAUAUAUACCUCCUUAUGGAGAAGAAUAUAAUUAUCCUAAAGUAUUCAAACCAUAUUUAUACUUUAGCAUGGUAUAAGAUCAAUUGAUCAUAGGUUGUCUCUAGACUCUUAAAUCUUACCCUCAAAUUCAAAUCUAAACCCUAAAUCAAAUUCCUCAAAUUCAAAUUCCUUAAAUCCAAAUCUUAUACACUCAUAUCAAAUCCUCUUAUCAAAACCCAUACUUUAUCUUAUCCUCAAAUCCUUCAGUUGCAAUAGGUGACCUCCCGCUCUCACAUACAUAGGCUAUUCCACCUUCGCUCCUCAAAUUGUUGCUAUUAACAAUGAAAAUUCCCCGUUUCCUACCGGCGUAUCCCUGACUGAAACCAACUAUGCUUUAUGGUCUUAAGUCAUGGAGAUGUGCAUUGCUACCCGGAAAAAUUGGGGUACCUAACCGGAGACACUCCACAGCCCCCUCAGAGCUCGUCCACCUACAACAAAUGGUGUACCGAGAACUUUCGGGUCAAAAGAUGGUUAAUUGACUCCAUGUCUCCCGACUUCAUGAAUCGUUUCAUCUGAUUAAGUACCGCCAAAGAAAUUUGGGCUGCCGUCAAGAAGACCUACAAUGAUUGUGGGGAUGAAACUUUUUUUUAUCUCAAUAAACAGGCGUUCACUAUUAAACAGAAUUGUGCACCUGUUCAUAAGUAUUAUAGCCAGCUGCAGAGUAUUUUUAAGAAAAUUGACUAUCGGAGUCCCAUCCGCAUGCACUGCGAUGCCGAUGUCACUAAGCGCCAGACAUAAGUGGAUCGUCCUAGUGUUCACCUUUUUCUUGCCAGUUUUGACCCUGAGUUUGAUCAAGUCCGAGAGGAAAUCUUACGAAAAGAUCCCAAAUUAGACCUUGAUCAAACCUUUACAUAUGUUUUUCACAAAGCUCAACUGCGAAUGACCAUGAUUGGUGCUCCGAAAACCUCUGUCAUAGUCCCUCAACAUCAAAGGGGGCCCCAGACUUCGACCGGUGGAUCUUAUCAGAACAAGGCUUCAGGAUCUCUUCCGGAGAAGAAGUACACUCACUGUGGAGGAGACAAACAUACCAGUACUAGCUGUUACGAAUUGAUUGGGUAUCCUGAUUAGUGGGACCACUCCAAGGAUCCUCGCAAACAUAAGACCAAAUCACUCCAUAAUCUUUCGACUCAUACCUUGUAAGUCCUGCUGAUUUGGCUACACUGGCUCUAACAUCUGCCUCUAUAACCACAACAGGUACCAAAGGUUAUGUUUUAAGUACUUCAUCCAAGAAACACACAAGGAUCAUUGACAUAGGAGCAAUUGACCAUAUGACAUUUGAUCCUGGACAAAUUGCCUCUUAUACAUCGUCCCCUCAAUCGGUGGUGUCUAAUACUAAUAGUACUCCCUCCCCCAUGAUUGGAGAGAGCUCACUCUCUCUUUGACUCCCUCAAUUUGGACUCUGUGUUGAUUAUUCCGUCCUUGCACCACAAUCUAUUGUCUGUUGUCCAAAUUACUACGGCUUUGAAUUGCACUGUAACUUUUUGGUCUACUUAUUAUGUUUUUCAGGACAUUAUGAGCAGCAAGACAAUUGGUUGUGGUACUAGGAAAGGCAAACUCUACUACCUGAACUUGGCACCUAACAGUAAAGCCAGAGUCGGUCAAGUUUUCGAGAUUAGGGGUGCUAGUAUUGAGAAACAAACUGACAAAGUAUAGUUAUGACAUAGACGUCUUGGACAUGCUUUAUUUGGAUAUUUACAAAAGUUAUUUCCAUCCUUAUCUACCAGUUUAGAUAUUUUAAGUUUUAAGUAUGACAUUUGCGAACUGGCUAAGAGCCAUCGUGUUCCUUUUCUCUUAAGUUCCAAUAAAAGUUCGAUUCCAUUCUCUCUUAUGCAUUCUGAUGUUUGGGGCCCUAUUAAAAUUGCUAUUCCAGGGGGAGCUCGAUGGUUUGUCACGUUCGCACAUGCUUGAAUUGGAUUUCCCUUCUCAAAACUAAAGGGGAAGUCAGUUCAAAGUUUCAACAAUUCCAACAAAUGGUGGAGACUUAGUUUCAGGCCAUAAUGCAGGUUCUCCAUUCUAAUAAUGGCGGAGAAAUUCUCAACCAAGAUCUUAACAAGUUCUUACAAUCAUGGCAUCAUACAUCAUCGCUCAUGCCCACACUCCCUACCAAAAUGUAAUGGUUGAAAGAAAGAAAAGACAUGUAUUGGAAGUAGUUUGUGCUUCUCUUUUUAAUGCCAAUAUGCCUCGGUCAUUUUGGGGAGAAGUCGUCCUAUCUACAGCUUGCCUUAUCAAUCGAAUCCCCUAUAGUAUUUGAAUUUACAAAAAAGCAUAAGAUGAAGACAUUUUUUUAUAUAUAAUUUUGGAGCUUUAAAUAGAAGAGAAUAUCACAAGGAGUUCCUAUGAAUUUUCAGUAUAUUUUUCUGACCUAAAAUAGGGCUUCAAAUUAAGUACUUCACAAAAUUUCUUAUAGCAUGUAUUUCUGUUGUAUUAGGUACUGAUAUUAGGGGUGGCAUUUUAAACCGAAAAACCGAAAAACCGCAAAAACCAACCGAUAUUUUACCGCAAUAAAACCGCAAUCGCGGUAUUAAGAACCGAACCGCAUUUGCGGUUGCGGUUGCGGUAUUUUAUUUUCAAAAUUUGCGGUUGCCGCAAACCGCAAAGUAUAGCCGCACGGCUAUACUUUAUGAAUAAUUAAGUAAAAUUGUAAACCCUUCUCUUCUCUCUCUGUAGCCGUGAGAUUGAAAACCUAGAACUCAUCUCCUUCUCUCUCUCUCUCUAUCUCAAUUCAAGCCCUCUCUCUGUCUCUCUCAAGGAUCGAUCUUUGUGAAAAGCGUCAUUAGAGCUUCGAACCCGAGCGCAGCCACUGAGUCUUCUUCACCUGGACUCUACUCCGCCAAGAAGUACGAGCUCACCGUUCCUAACGUCGACGUGGUUCUUGAGGACGUCCGCCCCUAUCUCAUCGCUGAUGGCGGUAACGUCGACGUUGUGUCCGUUGAGGACGGCGUCGUUUCACUCAAGCUACAAGGUGGGUUUGGGUUAUCUCUUUUUUCUGUCUCUGUUUUUCAUUUGAAAUAUGGUUUCUUUUUUCUGUCAGGAAUUUUGGGUUUUGUGAAUUUGAAUGAUUUACUCAUUGCCAACAUAUAAUUUGAUUGUGAAACAGUGGUAAUUAGUUAGAAUCAAUGUUUUGUUUUGCAAUUAGGCAAUUGAAAUUCCAUUUUCUUGAAGAAUUGAAAUGAUAAACAGGGGCUUGUGGGAGCUGCCCUAGCUCAACGACCACCAUGAAAAUGGGAAUUGAAAGAGUGCUUAAAGAAAAGUUUGGAGAUGGGCUCAAGGAUAUUUCUUCAUCUAUGACAUCCCUAAACCCUAAAUCAAAAUCCCUCUUGAAAGCAACCUGAAAAAUCCCAGAAUUACCUGUUGCCCAGAAUCUGAGCAACCUGUCAUCUUGAAGUAUAGCCCCUAUUACCCUCUAAAGUCUAGUAUUUUAAUCCCUAAUUCAUUCUACCAUACCCUUCCCCAGCAACUACAAGCCUUGAAACCUCUAUUUGCAGCCCUAGAGCCUACGGUACAAUAGGCAAAUUUCACCAACCUGUGCUUUGUCAACCACCAUUAUAAAAACUUGUUAUAUUCCAUUUCUUUUACAGAUGAUUGCAGGAAAAUGCCACUCAAGGACCUUUAUUUUGAUUAAGAAAACUUUGAAAACACAAUCACAGAGCUUUGAGUGACAUUUGUGAAUAAAAAGAAUUAGAUCUAGCGAUUUAGGAUCGGAAAGAAAGGCCUCUCCUCUCCCUCAAUUACAUUCUUGAACUUGAAUUUGUGCUUAGGUUAGAAAUUUGUACAUGUGUGGUUCUCAAUUACAUUCUUAAUGUGCUGCUGCUUUCUUACUCUUUGUUUUGUGUUUGUAAUCUUUGAAGUACAUUUACAACUUGUAUGUGCAAUAUGUCGUGAAGAACCCGCUCUACACUUCUGGAACUCCAAUCAGGUAACUGGUUCAGUUUCGAUUAUCUUAAUGUAGUAAAUGAUCAAUCUUCAUAGUAACAAGUUUCAUCUCAUAGGUGAUAAAUAGAUAGUCACGCCUACUAUACAUUGGUGCUCAAACAACACAAAGGGGUUCUUCAAAUCCACUUACCACCAACACUUGAGUUUGUAACAUUGGUGUAUUGCAUUGAGUUUGUAACAUUGGUGUUUGAUUAGGCAUAAUGACUUAACAUGAGUUUAGACUGUUGUAUGUGGUCUAUUUAUGUCAAUUGCCUGUGGGUCAAUCCAUGUUCCCAUGUUACCUCUUUAGUUUCAUGGAUAUCUUGUAUUUGCCCUGAGUAUUUUUUUUCCUUAAAAUAGCUUUUACUGGUGGUUGACUUGAUUUCCACGGUUAAUGAUUCCUUUGUUUUUUACACAGGUUAGAGCAUACUUACAGCGUCAAUGGAAGCAGAUUCUAUCUGGAAGGGUGUCUCUUCAGGAUUUUGUAUCUGCAAAGGAGGUUCGCCUAGGCACCUACCGUGACUGUAUCUAUUUUUCUGUUCUUAUUUCAUUACUGUUUGUCAUGUAUUGUCUUCUUACUUGAUAUAUUUGAUUUUACACAUUGACUAAAACUUUGUUUUGGAAACAGAACUAGCUCUGUUCUUGUUUUGGCAGGAUAAACAAACAAUGUUAUUGUUAAUGGGAAAUAGCAGCAGCCCAUCAUUAGCGAAGAUUCAAAGGAAGCUAUGAAGCAUGCAUUCGAACUCUUUAAUGUUCGAUUGGAAGUAGACUUUGGGACUAGUGAUAUAGGACAUAGCUUAGGAUUGUAAUGAAUAUUUGUAAUUUAUUACAUUUGUCUUUUAUUAAUGAUGAUAUAUACUAUUCUUCGAACAACAAUUUUUCAAUUGAAAUAUUAUUUAGAUUUUUUGACAAAAUAUUUGUACGUUUAAUGCUUAUAAAUGUAGUCGGAAAAACAUUUUUUCGACAAGCUUCCAUGUCGAAAAAGCACAAUUCCAACGAAUUAUAUUUAUCACAAAUAGUAAUCUAGGGUCGGAAAUACUAUUUUCGACAAAUAGUCAUUGGUCGAAAAAAUAAUAUGGCAAGAACAAAAGAUCUCGAUCAAAAAUUAUUUCCGACAGGUGCGCAAGUAUUUGCGACCACAUUUAUUGUUGGAAAUGAAUUUGUAUGGUUGUUUUGAAAAUCUAUUUCCGAUAAAAAUAUAAGCAAUAUCGACGGAAUAUGGGUGUCGAAAAUACAUUAUUUCCGACGGAAUGGUCGGAAAAAAAGUAUUUGCAACCGUCGUUUUACCGACGAUUUCCGAUGAACUUUUGCCGUCGAAAAAGCGAAUUUCCGACUGCAAAAGGCUUUUUGCGACCACAAAAUACCCUCGCUAAAGGCAUUCUGUUUUGUAGUGAUACACCCUUGUACAUCGUCUUCCAAAAAGGACGAACCGUGGUAAACCUCAAGUACAGUACGAAGCAGAUUUUAAAGCCAAAGGAAAAUACCUCAUCAACAAUUAUAUAUUACUAAGCAGACUGUUUGAAUCACAUGCAUACUUUGUGAAGCAGUUGGCCGACAUAUCUAUUCCUAGUAGUGUGACUGAAGCAUUAAAAGACUCAAAAUGGAAAGAAGCCAUGAAUGAAGAAAUGCGAGCGCUCUAAAAUAAUGCCACAUGGGAGCUCGUGUCUUUACCUCACAGAAAGAAGACAAUGGGAUGCAUGUGGAUCUAUACUGUGAAACUCAAAGCAAAUGGAUCCUUUGAAAGAUACAAAGCUAGACUGGUGGCAGAAGGGUACACAUAGAGAUAUGGGGUAGACUACUAGGAGACCUUUGCCCAGUAGCUAAGAUUAACACUAUCAGAAUCUUACUAUCUCUAGCAGCAAAUCUAGACUGGCCACUAGAUCAGUCUGAUGUUAAAAAUUCCUUCUUACAUGAAGACUUGGAGGAAGAGGUCUACAUGGAUUUACCACUAGGAUGUAGUAUAGCUCAUGAUAAGAAGAAUCAAGUUUUGCAAGCUCAGAAAAUCACUAUAUGGGGAUGGUUUGGCAUAUUCACUAAGUUCAUGAAAAUUUUUGGAUACACUCAAAGUAAUUCAGACCAUACCAUGUUCUUGAAGCACAAUGGCGAAAAAAUCACUGCAUUAAUCACGUAUGUGGAUGACAUGGUUGUAACUGAGCAUGAUGCAUGAGAACAACAGAAACUACGAAAGUAUUUGUCUUAGGAAUUUUAGAUGAAUGAUUUAGGUGCUCUGAAAUUCUUCAUCGGAAUAGAAGUAUCAAGGUCAAAAACUGGUAUAUUUUUGUCUCAAAGGAAGUAAGUGAUGGAUCUACUCACUAAAAGAUGAAUGCUUGGAUGCAAGCCUGCUGACACAUCUAUUGAGAUGAAUCACAAGUUGUAUGAAGGCAUGGACCGGGUGCCUACCAAUAAGGAACAGUACCAGCGCCUUGUUAGAAGAUUGAUAUAUUUGGCACGCACAAGACUAGAUAUUGCAGGCAUUAUAAGUGUGGUUAGUCAAUUUAUGCAUUCUCCUAGUAUUUCUCAUAGCAAUGUAGUUGAUCAGAUCUUAAGGUAUUUUUCAACACCUUAAAAAUGACUAAUGUUCUCCAAGAAUGAAAAUCUUAAAGUUAUUUGAUAUAUAUAUAUAUAUAUGCUAACUGGGUUGAUUCCAUUAUAGAUAGACACUCUACAUCAUGUUACUUUAUAUUUGUGGGAGGUAACCUAGUUACUUGGCAGAGUGAAAAAUAAAAUGUGAUUUCCAGGUCUAGUGCAGAAGCAGAAUAUAAAGAAAUGGCUCAAGGAGUCUGUGAAUUAUUAUGGAUCAGAAGACUCUUGACAAAAUUGGGUUUCAAACCAUAAAAGCCAAUGGAGUUACAUUGUGACAACAAAUUGUAGGGGAUUUUUUGUUCCGGCAGCUACUAUUGGCCUGGGCUACCGUAAACAACAAAAUGGAUGAAAUUGCCCCUUGAGCCUGAGUUUGAAGAUCAAGCCCCAAGAAUGCUUCGAAAGGACAGUAGGGCCUUAGGAAACACCUUGGUUACCUUCACCAAUGAAAGUAACAACAGCUUACAGAUAAACUUUCUAGCUUGGCAUGAGGAGCUUGUGGCAUGGGAGCAAAAUUGUCAUGAGUUUAGCAUUGAAGAGAAAACUAAGUGUUCCUGGGGGAAAAGGGGUAUUAAGGCAGGAGAUGAAGAGUUUGCAGAGGGGUUUGGUUGAGCAUGAGGAAAAAGAGAGAAAAUGGUAGCUUGAGUGUUUUUCCGGCAGCUUGACAGAGACUCUGUCAAGUGUUAGAAUAGCUUGCCAAGAGGAAAAAUUAAGGGAAAAGGAUGGGCUGAGCAUGAAAUAGCUGCUAGAAGCCAUCAUUUUCCAAUAAACCCUAAUGGUUUCUAUCCAAUUUGGCCAAGUCUUUCCCUUCCUUUCUCCCAUCAUCUCUUCAAUCAUCCUAUUUUGGUGAAAUCCACUGCCCAUUUGCACAAAAUCAUGGAUUUUUGAGAGCUUAAGGCCUCCUUUUCCGCGGCUGUUUCAGAACUUCCAUUUUCAACCAUCUUAUUCCUUUUCUUUCUUCCUUUUUUUAUGGCUAGGUCUGAUGAGGGAAAGAGAAUGGAUAUGCAUGCUGGUUCAAAAGGUGAUCAGCGCUCCAAUAUCCAUUGGUCCCUUGGGUGUCUUUUGCUGGAAACUUGCUCCCUUCCCAUGUGCUGGAACCUCCAAGCAGCUUUGUAUAAUGGACCUUCAGAAUUCCCCUUCGUGGCUUUUGUUUUUCCAGCCAAGUGUUGGGCUUUUGUAGCUCAUUAUGGUAAUUGUAUGGGCCAAGUUGGUUUAUUGAGUAAGUGGGCUAUCUCUAUCAAGCAUUGGUCUUUUUUGGUUGAGUCAAUAGGCUAUUUUGGUUGGGCUAUUUUGGUUAGGAUAUUUUGGUUGUGAUAUUUUCUCUUUUGUGCUCACCCACAUGUUUGGGCCUAAGAAAUGGGCUUGAGUUCCGAAGCUCCCAAGCAACCCCGGGACUUCCAUUUCUUAGCCCAUCAAUGGGCCUCAUGUCAACUUAUUACCAUCCAUACCACAACCCACUCAAGCAAGCCCCGGGCAUCUUGCGUGGCUUGGGCCCAAUUAAGCUUGUAGCGUGGCAUGUUGCUUAUUUGCUUGGCGUGGCAUGUGUGCAAAGCGUAUAUGACGAACUUUCGCGUGCCCAAUUUGGAUUUCUUCUUGAUAAGGUAUUGCAUUGGGCUGAAAAUUUAUUUGAGCCGAACCGUGGAUUGUUUUGGGCCUCAACACAAGUCAGCUAUCGAUAUUGCUCAUAAUCCAGUUCAACGUAAUCGAACCAAACAUGUUGAGGUGGAUAGACAUUUCAUCGAAGAAACAAUUGAGAAUAAGAUCAUCUCCCUACUAUUCGUAAAAUUAGAAGAUCAACUAGCAGAUGUCUUUAAAAAAAAAGUUGUCUGUGGAAAAGUGUUUUAUGACUCACUUACCAAGUUGGGCAUUGGUGACGUAUAUGCACUAACUUGAGGAGGAAUGUUGAAAUGAGCCUUCCUAAUUAAUCAAGGAGAUUUAUUUCCUUGAUUAAUUAGGGGAUUUACUUUCUUAUUUUAUAUAGUUGACAUAUCCUUGUAUAAUUAGGAGAUAUUCUCCUAAUUGAUUAUUGUAUCUAUUUCCUUGUAAAGUACUCAUGUAAACUGCUAUAUAUACCUCCUUAUGGAGAAAAAUAGAAUUAACCUAAAGUAUUCAAACCAUAUUCAUAUUUUAGCACCAUUUUUGCUCCUUUUUGUAAAACUAUUAUAGCAACAAUGGCAGUACAAAUGCAAACUCCAGUGCUUAAGAUUAAUCUAUUUCUUUGCAAAUGAGGGGAUGAGACUAAUGCCUGAGUCCUCUUGCUACUUAUUUAUGGUUCAGAUUGAUUGAACUACUGCCUCAUAAAAGCUAUUUGAGAAAGAGGUUGCAUUGUGAAAUGGGCACCCCAGAUGGAAGUUUUGGCUCAUGGCCUAGUGGGUGGGUUUUGGAGCCAUUGUGGUUUGUCUGAAGGGGUUCCGAUGUUAUGCAGGCUGUGCUUUAGCGAUAAGAAGGUGAAUGCAAGGUAUGUGAGCGAAGUAUUUAAAAUAGGGAUACAAUUGGAGAAUGAAUUAGAGAGGGCAGAGAUAGAGAGAGGGGUUAGAAAACUUAUGGUAGAUGAGGAUGGGAAGGGAAUGAGGGUGAGGGCCAGGGAGUUGAAAGAGAAAAUAGAUGUCAGUAUGAAGGGUGGCUCUACCUACCAUUCCAUGAAAUCAGCUUGUGGAGCUUAUAAGGUCAUUUUAAUUGGAACAACAAGUGCUUUUUUUCCCUCAACUAAGUCCUUUGUCAUUAAAUAUAUAGUUGAGGCUUCAUGCAUCUUAUGUAAACAAACUUUUCUUUGUAGUAUAUUACUCACUCUUGGAUGAAAUUUACUAUUCCAAUGCAUUGAUUUGUACAAUCCAGACUUUACAUUUCAAAGUAGUUGAAGCAACAACAUCAAGGUGAUUCUAUGAACUCCCACAAUCACUCCAUUACAAAUCAUUGAUGGAAAAUUGUUUCUCUUCUCUUCUUUCGUUGAUGGUCGCUACUAACGAAAGAGGGCGAAGAGGUUAUGUUAUAGUAUAAAAUAAAGAAGAAUAGCAAAGACAUGAGGAACAACGUUAAGUGUCCAUUGCUCUGUUUCUUUAGAUUGAACUGGGUGUAUCUAACCAUUAAGUUUUUUAUCUUUGUGAAAAGCCCUACUACUUAAAGAAGGUCCACGACCCCUUACCCUGCUUAAGAUUCCACUCUUUCCACCUAAGUUGACACUUAAUUUUGGGCGUCAAGAGCUCAUAUGGUGAGUAGGCCUUCUAUUCUGACGAAUAAGUAAUGGACAUCAUGUAAGAGUCAAAAUCUUUCUUUCAAAUUUCAAAAACCACAUGUGGCAUUUCCCUUAUGAAAUAAAUAAGAUCAUAUGUUUUAUCGGUUCAUGUUGAUGCUGAUACUUUGACCACCGCUGUUUCAUUUAUAAAGGGUUGAGGGUGUAAAAUUAUAAUGUAAACUGUCGAAUACCCCCUGAAUUAUCAUGCUUGUCGAAAUCUUCACCCUAAACUUUUUUUUGCCUGCCAAUUUAGCCCUCAUACUAAAUUGUAUCGCCGAUUUACCCCCCAAUGUUAGUUUUUGGCAAUUUCCAUCCAAAUCUCUGUUAAAAAAGUACCAAGUUAGGCAUAUGCUUCACUGUUGAAUUAAAAAUUGAAUUUGUUUAUCUAGUUCUUCAAAGAGCUUGAAUGUGGGAGAAAUAAAUCGGGGGGAGGGGGAGAGGGAAUUCUGGUUUCUGCAGGUGGGGGGUAGGAGGAGGGGGGAGGAGUCUAUGAGUGGUGGUUGGGAAAUCAAGGGGGAGAAGAAAUCUAUGGGGGUGGGGAGAAAUCGAAGGUGAGGGGGGCUAGUUCUGGGUUUUGCGGGGAUUGGAAAAAAAAAAGGGAGGGAAUGAGGGAGAAAGAAAUCGGGCGGGGAGGGGAAUUCUGGUUUCUAAUGGUGCGGGGUGGGAGGAGGGGGGAGUGGUAUGUAGGUAGUGAAUUUACCCUUAUAUUUGACGGGCAUUUGGAUAGAAAUUUCCAAAAACUAACAAUGGAGGUAAAUUGGUGAUAAAAUUUAGUAUGAGUGCUAAAUUGGUAGGCAAAAAAGUUUAGGAUGGAGAUUUCGACAAGUGUAAUAUUUCAAGGGAUAUUUGGCAGUUUACCCAGAAUUAUAUCAAAAAUAUAAUUAAAUGAAAAUUCAAGAGGACAAGUCGUACCAAGUAAAUAGAGGAUGCUGGUUCAUGAAUUUCUCGCUUGAACUUAAUAAGAAAUCAUGACAAUAAAAUUAUUAACAUAUAUAAAGAAAAAAUAGUAUCAUGUAACAAACAACUAGUCAUUGUUUUCUGAAAGAGGAUGAGUAGGACUUAUUCCAAGAAGAUGCAGCCAAGUUUGACAAAGAUGAGUAAGAAAUAUUACAUCAAGUCAGUUCUUCCUCUAAUACCAAACACAACAACCAGCCAAUAUACUUUUCAAUAUUAAUUCAUGAAGUGCACCAGCCAGCUGUGCUGAAAACUACAAGCUUAUUAUUAAUUGGCUUAUCUAAAUAUUAUCUGCUUAGUAUGGUCCCUGCAGGACUGAAGGGCGGCUACUCUCUCUCUAUAUAUAUAUAUAUUACAUACUCAAAGCCCAAAUGAAUUUCAAGGAGACAGUCGAGCAAUAUAAAGCUCACAUAGCCACAAGCUAUUGAGUGUCUUUGUGUGUGUGCCCGCGCUUAUCGGUGAGACAGAAGAGGAAGAGGGAGGGAAGGAGAUGGAAAAUAAAGCACAGAGUGGUCAACUGUUGGUCUUAGUUCCAUGCCCAUACCAAGGCACAAUAAACCCUAUGCUUAAGCUGGGUACCUUCCUUCACUCAAAGGGCUUUUCCAUUUCAAUUGUUCACACCCAUUUCAACUCUCCAAACCCUUCAAACCACCCCGAAUUCACCUUCUUUCCAAUACCAGAUGGCUUAACUGCUGACGAGAUUUCAUCUGGGAAUGUAGUAGCUAUUGUGUUUGCUAUUAACGCCAAUUGCAAAGCGAGUUUCAAACAAUGCUUAACUGAUAGAGUGACGGAACAAGAACCGCAGAACAAAAUCACCUGCAUCAUCUAUGAUGAAUUUAUGUACUUCUCUGAAUCUGUGGCUAAUGAUCUAAACAUUCCAAGUAUACUCUUACGCACGCAAAGUGCUACCAAUUUUAUUGCUCGCAACGCUCUGAUACAACUUCAUUCGAAAGGUUGCACUCCCUUCCCAGGUAUGUGCCCUGUUUCCUCUUGUCUACAUUUCUUUCUGCAAACAAGGAAAGAGGCUAAUGCCUGGGUCAUUUUUCUUAGAGUAUGGUGUUAUUUUUCUUACUUAUAAAUUAUAACUAACACUAUAACUCGGGAUCACAGACUCUAUGUUACUGAACUCGGUGCCCGAGCUUCAUCCCCUCAGGUUCAAGGAUCUCCCCAUCUAUAUUUUCGACACAGUUGAAAACUAUUCGAAACUAUUGACUAAUGCCAACAAUGUUAGAACAUCCUCAGCCAUAAUUUGGAACACCCUGGACUGCCUUGAACAAUCAUCACUAGCACAGAUCAAGCAACAAUGUCAAGUUCCAAUCUUCUCCAUAGGUCCUCUUCACAAAGUUUCAACAGCAGCCACCAGUAGUUUACUAGAAGAAGACACCAGCUGUGUUGCGUGGCUGGACAAACAAUCCCAUAACUCAGUUAUCUAUGUAAGCUGGGGGAGUCUGGUAUCCAUCAGUGAAAAAGAACUAGCCGAAAUGGCUUGGGGAUUAACUAGGAGCAGGCAACCUUUUUUGUGGGUGAUUAGGCCCGGAUCAAUUUGCGGUUCUGAUUGGAUCGAGCUACUGCCUCAAGGUUUCCUAGAAGCUGUUGGAGAAAGAAGUUGCAUCGUGAAAUGGGCACCCCAGAUGGAAGUCUUGGCUCAUGGCGCAGUGGGCGGGUUCUGGAGCCAUUGUGGUUGGAACUCAACCCUGGAAAGUAUAUCUGAAGGGGUUCCGAUGUUAUGCAGGCCGUGCUUUACCGAUCAGACGGUGAAUGCAAGGUGUGUGAGCGAAGUAUGGAAAAUAGGGAUACAAUUGGAGAAUGAAUUAGAGAGGGGAGAGAUAGAGAGAACUGUUAAAAAACUUAUGGUGGAUGAGGAUGGGAAGGGAAUGAGGGUGAGGGCCAAGGAGUUGAAGGAGAAAAUAGAAGUUAGUAUGAAGGGUGGCUCUACCUACCAUUCCUUGAACGAGCUUGUGGAGUUUAUAAGGUCAUUUUAAUUGGAACAAGAAGUGUUUUUUUCUCUUUUCUCAACUAAGUGCUUUUUGGAAGAAAUUAACACAAUCAUUCCCUCCCCCUAAGCCAUCCUUACAGUAUUUGGUGGGAGAUGUUGAUUGCUAGGCCUCUUUGUAUUCUGAUAAAUAAGUAAUGUACAUCGUGUAAGAGUCAAAAUAUUUUUUCCACUUUCAAAAACAUGUCCCUUGUGAAAUAAAUAAGAUCGUCUGUAAACUGUUUAUCUGUUCAUGUUGAUGUUGUUACUGUGCUUAUGACCAUCACCAUUUGAUUUAUAAAGAUUGACUAUUGAGCAUAGGGUUUAGGGUGUAUAAUUAUAUCAAAAGAAUAAUUAAAUGAAAAUUCAAGACGACACGGCGUACCAAAUAAAUAGAGGAUGCUGGCUCAUCAAUUUCUUGCUUGAACUUAAUAAGAAAUCAUUACAAUAAAAUUAUUAACAUAAGGAAAAAAUAGUAUCAUGUAGCAAACAACUAGUCAUUGUUUGCUGAAAGAGGAUCAGUAGGACUUAUUCCAUGAAGAUGCAGCCAAGUUUGACAAAGAUGUUUAGGAAUUAUUACAUCAAGUCAGUUCUUCCUCUAAUACCAGACACAACAACCAGCCAAUCUACUUUUCAAUAUCAAUCCAUGAAUUGCAGCAGCCAGCUGUGCUGAGAACUACAAGCUUAUGUUCCAAACAAAUGGAAAAAGACAAACUUAUUAUUAAUUGGCCUAUCUAAAUAUUAUUACAAAAUUAGUGAAAUACCCAUUCCUAGACAUGAAACUAUAAAUAUACCCUAUACUAUUUAAAGUAUAGAAACACACCCAAAAUAAACCCAAAAAUCGACAGCUAUCGAUUUUUUAAAUUCAAUAGCAAUGUUGAAUUAUUGUUUUGCCCUUUUGCCCAAAAUAAACCCAGCUCCAAGGCUCAAUUAAAAUAAUCGACGAUUGCUCCUUCAAAAUCUCGGAGCUAGUUUGUGAGAAAUCGAUGAGCUGCCAAUUUAACUAACCUCACCGUCGGAGCCGCAGCUCUAAUUUUCAUUGCUUUCUAGAUCUCUCACUUGCUUUCUCACAGAUCUUGCAGCUAUUUCCAGAUCUCAUAGCUCAAUCUCUGGCAUCUUAGUCAUAUGCAAGGUUUUUUUACAACUCAGGAGGUGGACUCGGGUCCUGAUCCAUGAGGCCGACUCUUUCCUCCAUCAACAAUGAUGCGUUGCAGAGGCCUUUUCUCUAUUCGGUGAGAUCAUCGAAUCGAAGAUCAUCAACGACCGUGAGACCGAGAGGUCUAGGGGCUUCGGCUUCGUCACUUUCAACCACGAGAAGGCCAUAAGGGACGCGAUCGAAGGCAUAAACGGCUAGAACAUCGACGGUCAUAACAUCACCGUCAAUGAGGCCCAAUCUGGUGGAAGCGGCGAUGGUGGUGGUGGUAAUGGAGGUUAAAGCUGUGGAGGAUAUGGUGGCGUUGGCUACGGAUCUAACGGCGUUGGCUACUAAGGUGGCGAUCAUCGUGAAGGCGGUGGGGAUAGCGUCUCGAUGACGAUUCAGUUUAGGUCACUAAGGUAAUUUGUAUUUGAUAUUCAUUUGAGUUUUGAAUUGUGAUUUUAAUUUUUUGUUGUUUAUAAUUUGGUUUGAUUUUAGAUUCGGUUUGGUUGUGAAUUUGAUCUUGUGUUUUGGUUUGAGCUGUGAUUAAAAAUUUGUGAUAUUGAUCAACUUUAAUCUCAAGUGAAAGAAGGUGCCCAUAGCCAUUGCCCGGCCAUUCACAUCAUGAUACCAUUGACUAUCACUGAGGUAAUGAAGGUAACACUUUCAAAUAGUUCUAUGACAUAGUAUUAACAGUAUACUUCUAUGACUUAGUAUUAACAGUGUACUUUUUUUUUCUUGUAGAUGUAUUUCCUUUUGCCUUUGCGAUUAUUUCUGAUGAAACUAUGGACAAUUGGAGGUGGUUUCUACACAGGAUAUCGGAUGUCUUGAUGGUUUUUUUUUGAGUUUUUUUGUAUGAAAUGGUAUUAACAAUGUUUUUUAUGAAAUUGUAUUAACAAUGUUUUCUAUAAAAUGGUAGUAAAAAUGUUUUUUAUGAAAUUGUAUUAACAAUGUACUUCUAUGACAUGAUAUUAACAAUGUACGUCUAUGAUAUGGUAUUAACAAUGUACUUCUAUGAAAUGGUAUUAACAAUGGUUUAUUGUAUGAAAUGGUAUUAACAAUGUUCUAUUUGUAUGAAAUGGUAUUAACAAUAUCUUUUUGUAAGAAAUGGUAUUAAAAAUAUUUUUGUAUGAAAUGGUAUUAACAAUGUUCUAUUUGUAUGAAAUGGUAUUAACAAUAUCUUUUUGUAAGAAAUGGUAUUAAAAUUUUUUUUUUUUUUUGGGUAUGAAAUUGUAUUAACAAUGUUUUUGUAUGAAAUGGUAUUAACAAUGUUUUCCUAUGAAAUGGUAUUAACAAUGUACUUCUAUGACAUGGUUUCCAGAGGUUCGAUGGAGAAGGAAGGGUCGUAAGGGCAUGCCCUUGGUUUUUGUUUUUAUUUUAUUUUUUAUUUUAAAAAAAAUCUAGGUUGGGCUUGUUUUGGGUUUUUAUGGGUUUUUUGUAUUGGGCUUUUUUUAAGUUAGUUAGUGGCAGUCAUGUAAUUUAUAGGAAAUUCAACACUCAUUUUGUAUGUAGUAAAUGAUUUUUGGGUAUGUUUCUAAAGUGUAUUUCAUGUAGGGUUUUUUUAUAAUUUCAGCCUCUAUUUUGGGUAUAUCACUAAAGCUCCCAAAUAUUAUCUGCUUAGCAUGGUCUCUAUAUAUUACAUACUCAAGGCCCAAUGAAUUUCAAGGAGACAGUCAAGCAAUAUAAAGCUUCCAUAGCCACAAGCUAUUGAGUGUCUUUGUGCGCGUGUGUGUGUGCGCGCUUAUCGGUGAGACAGAAGAGGAAGAGGGAAGGGGGGAGAUGGAAAAGAAAGCCGAGAGUGGUCAACUGUUGGUCUUAGUUCCAUGCCCAUACCAAGGCCACAUAAACCCAAUGCUUAAGCUGGGUAACUUCCUUCACUCAAAGGGCUUUUCCAUUGCAAUUGUUCACACCCAUUUCAACUCUCCAAACCCUUCAAACCACCCCGAAUUCACCUUCUUUCCAAUACCAGAUGGCUUAACUGCUGAUGAGAUUUCAUCUGGGAAUGCAGUAACUAUUGUGUUAGCUAUUAACGCCAAUUGCAAAGCUAGUUUCGAACAAUGCUUGACUGAUAGAGUGACGGAACAAGAACUGCAGAACAAAAU